UGACCAAAAUAUUGGAGCAAGUUUUCCUUGGAACAAAUUUUUCUUCUAGGUACAAAUUGAUUCCAAAAAAAAUUGUUCCAAGGAAAACUUGUUCCAAUAUUUUGGUC
rnacentral:pre_miRNA from 1 species